AGAGUUUGAUCCUGGCUCAGAACGAACGCUGGCGGCAGGCCUCAAACAUGCAAGUCUAGGGGGUGUAGCAAUACAUCACCGGUGGACGGGUGCGUAACACGUGGGAAUAUACCUUUUGGUUCGGAACAACGCAGGGAAACUUGCGCUAAUACCGAAUGUGCCCUUACGGGGAAAGAUUUAUCGCCAAAGGAUUAGCCCGCGUAGGAUUAGCUAGUUGGUGAGGUAACGGCUCACCAAGGCAAUGAUCGGUAGCUGGUCUGAGAGGAUGGCCAGCCACACUGGAACUGAGACACGGUCCAGACUCCUACGGGAGGCAGCAGUGGGGAAUCUUGCACAAUGGGCGAAAGCCUGAUGCAGCGACGCCGCGUGGGGGAUGAAGCUUUUCGGAGUGUAAACCCCUUUCGACUGGGACGAAUGCCUCGCAAGAGGAGUGACGGU
rnacentral:rRNA from 1 species